UGGGUAAGCCAGACAGUCGCGUGCAUCUGCACGAGGAAAGUCCGGGCUCCAUAGGGUGAGAGUGCCAGAUAACGUCUGGCGUAGGUAACUAUAGGGAAAGUGCAACAGAAACAUUCCGCCGAAACAGUUAGGCUGUGGUAAGGUUGAAAUGGUGAGGUAAGAGCUCACCGGCGUUGUGGAGACAUAACGGCCGUGUAAACCCCACUCGGAGCAAGACCAAAUAGGGCAUAAAAAGCGGCGGCCCGUCGCUGCCCGGUAGGUAGGUCGCUUGAGCGUAUCAGUAAUGGUACGCCUAGAUAGAUGAUUGUCUAAUACAGAACCCGGCUUAUAGACUUGCCCAAACA
rnacentral:RNase_P_RNA from 1 species